AUUGAACGCUGGCGGAAUGCUUUACACAUGCAAGUCGAACGGUAGAGGGGGCAACCCCUUGAGAGUGGCGAACGGGUGAGUAAUAUAUCGGAACGUGCCCAGUCGUGGGGAUAACGUAGCGAAAGUUACGCUAAUACCGCAUACGAUCUAAGGAUGAAAGCGGGGGAUCGCAAGACCUCGCGCGAUUGGAGCGGCCGAUAUCAGAUUAGGUAGUUGGUGAGGUAAAGGCUCACCAAGCCAACGAUCUGUAGCUGGUCUGAGAGGACGACCAGCCACACUGGAACUGAGACACGGUCCAGACUCCUACGGGAGGCAGCAGUGGGGAAUUUUGGACAAUGGACGCAAGUCUGAUCCAGCCAUUCCGCGUGCAGGAUGAAGGCCUUCGG
rnacentral:rRNA from 1 species